UAGGGAAUCUUCCGCAAUGGACGCAAGUCUGACGGAGCAACGCCGCGUGAGUGAAGAAGGAGUUCGGUUCGUAAAACUCUGUUGUUAGAGAAGAACAGCGCAUAGAGUAACUGUUAUGCGUGUGACGGUAUCUAACCAGAAAGCCACGGCUAACUACGUGCCAGCAGCCGCGGUAAUACGUAGGUGGCAAGCGUUGUCCGGAUUUAUUGGGCGUAAAGCGAGCGCAGGCGGUCAAUUAAGUCUGAUGUGAAAGCCCCCGGCUCAACCGGGGAGGGUCAUUGGAAACUGGUUGACUUGAGUGCAGAAGAGGAGAGUGGAAUUCCAUGUGUAGCGGUGAAAUGCGUAGAUAUAUGGAGGAACACCAGUGGCGAAGGCGACUCUCUGGUCUGUAACUGACGCUGAGGCUCGAAAGCGUGGGUAGCAAACAGG
rnacentral:rRNA from 1 species